ensembl:lncRNA novel transcript, antisense to FAM177B
UCCUUCUCUAUAUUUUUUGCCCUGGGCUUUGAGAUACUGCUUCAACUUGAGCUUUUGGGGAACUAAUUAGUGUUUCAACAGCACAGCAGAGACAGCAUUUCACAAAGCAAAACUGCUCCCUAAUCUCAGAUAUUUGCCUGCCCAAUUAGCUGGAGGCUCCUUGAUGGCAGAGACUGCCUCCUUGGUAUCCCCAGCACACAGCACAGAACCUGGCACAUACCUUCAGCCUUGGGAACUUCUGUGUGUUUAUUGCACAUUCAUGAAGGUUACAGUAAAUAAUACUCAAAUGAAGAGACCAAGAUGAUUAAAAUUGUAAGUUGCCUAUGCAUGGAUUUAGAAAGCAAAAAAGGAGACCAAGGACUUAGCUUAAAGCUAUUCUUUCUAUAAACCUUGUCUGGCUCAAUCUCUUGUUCAUUCACCGCCUCCCCCACCAUGUUCCCUAAUAUUGAUAUACUAAGCUUACAGGGUCAAGUGUUGAAUUUGUGCUCUGCUCCUCCUUUUCCUCUUCCUCCUCCUCCUCUGUGCUAUAUUCUUCCAUGAUGUCUCCGUCAACAAAAUGGAUAAUCCUUUUAGGAGUAGUCUUUUUGGAAGGUACACUCUUCUCUAGGUCUAACUGCUGGAAACCGUCAAUCUCCAUAAUGAAACAAAACAACUAGAAAAUUAAAAACAGGGCACCUUAGGGCAAGUUACCCAGAGCUGAGAGUUAUCUAGUUAUUUUCAAUGGAUAGUAAAGACAGAGAACUCAGAGGUAAUCACACCUGUGACCUCAUCGAUUCCUCAAAUCCAAAAAAGGACUGUUCUAUUCUGUACCAAAAUGGAAGAGAUUUGAUAAAUAGCGAAAACGUGAACUUACAGUCUUCAAACAAAAGUGUCAACAGGGUUUUCUUACCUUUUGUUAACGUUAAAACACACAAUUGCUAGUAGGAAGGGGUCACUAUCCUGCAGACGUUUCUCAAUUAUUUCAAUAAAUAUUGAGAAGCAAUGAAGGAAAUGGUUAAGAGUACAGACUUCACACAGACAGGAGAAAACAUGUGCAAAGUAUAUAUUUGGUAAAGGACUUAUUUUCAGAACAUGUAAAGAGCGAUUACAAUUCAACAGGUAAAAGGCAAAUAACUCAAUUAAAAUAUGGGCAAAAUAUUUGAGUAGAGAUUUUACCAAAGAUAUACAGAUGACGAAUGUCAUUAGUCAUUUGGGAAAUGCAAAUUAAAAUCAUAAUGAGAUAUCAUAACAUACCCACUGUAAUGGCUAAUUUUCUUUCUUUUUUUUGAAACAGACUUUUUUGCUCUUGUUGCCCAGGCUGGAGUGCAAUGGCGUGAUCUCGGCUCACCGCAACCUCUGCCUCCUGGGUUCAAGUGAUUCUCUUGCCUCUGCCUCCUGAGUAGCUGGGAUUACAGGCACCGCCUGGAUAAUUUUUUGUAUUUUUAGUAGAGACAGGGUUUCACCAUGUUGGUCAGGCUGGUCUCAAACUCCUGAUGUCGAGUAAUCCACCCACCUUGGCCUUCCAAAGUGCUGGGAUUAUAGGCAUGAGCCACUGUGCGCAGCCUAAAAUUUUUUUGGGGGGCUGCAGAGACAGAGUCUUUCUCUGUCACCCAGGCUGGAGUGCAGUGGUGCAAUCAUGGCUCACUGCAGCCCUUACCUCCCAGGCUUAAGCAAUCUUCCCGCCUCAACCACCUGAGUAGCUGGCACCACAGGUGCGUGCCACCAAGCCUGGCUAAUUAAAAAAAAUUUUUUUUUAUAGAGAUGGGGUCUCACUAUGUUACCUAGGCUGGUCUUGAACUCCUGAGCUCAAAAGAUCCUCCCACCUUGGCCUCCCAAAGUGCUGAGAUUACAGAUGUGAGCCACUAUGCCUGGUCUCUUAAAAGUUAAACAUAAAAUCUUGUAAUUUCACACCUAGAUGUUUAUCCAAGAGAAAUGAAAGCGUAUGUCUCCCUAAAGAUUUGUAUGGGAAUAUUCGUAGCAGUUUUAUUUGUGAACACUCCAAACUGGAGUCAACUCAAUGUCCAUCCACUGACGAUGGAUAAACAAAAUGUGGUCCAUAUAUUUAAUAGAAUACUCCUCAGCAAUUAAAAGUAAUAAACAAUGAAUAUUUGUAACACUGUGACUCUCAAAUGUAUUAUGCUAAGCAAAAGAAGCCAGACACUGCAUCGUAUAUAAUUCCAUUUAUGUAGAAAUUUAGAAAAGGCAAAAUUAUAGUAGAAAACAGAUCACUGUUUGCUAGAGGAGAGUGGGUAGGGGUUAAGAUUAACUAUAAAGUGACAAAGGGAGCUUUUUGGGGUGACGGAAGUGUUCUAAUAGAUAUCAUGAUCAUAAUGUCGGUUACUUGACUGUAUAAUUUGUCAAAAUGAAUCAAAUUCUACACUUAAAAUUAGUUCAUUUUAUUGUAUUUAAGGUAUAUCUUAAUAAAGCUGGAAAGCUUUGGAGAUAGACUUCCUGGAUUUAAAAUCCUAUUAUUUAAUAUCCCAGUGUCUUGGUUUUCUCAUUUAUAAAAUAAUAGUAUGAAAUGAUAUAGUGCCAACCUUAUAAAAUUGUAAUGAAGAGUAAAUGAGUAAAGACACAUAAAGAAGUUAGAACAAUUCUUAGCAAAUGGUGUUUAAUAAAAGCUGGCUAUUAUUAAGUACCUAUAAUUUACUUAGCAGUGUAUAUGUCAGGCAGUAUUCCAAUGUUGUAAGGAUACGUACACAUGUAUUUUUGCCUUUUUUUUUUUUUUUUUGAGAUGGAGUUUCACUCUUGUUGCCCAGGCUGAAGUGCAAUGGCACAAUCUCGGCUCACUGCAACCUCUGUCUCCCAGAUUCAAGCGAUUCUCCUGCCUCAGCCUCCUGAAUAGCUGGGACUACAGGCACCCACCACCACCCCCGGCUAACUUUUUGUAUUUUUACUAGAGACGGGGUUUCACCAUGUUGGCCAGGCUGAUCUCGAACUCCUGAUCUCAGGUGAUCCACCCGCCUCGGCCUCCCAAAGUGCUGGGAUUACAGGCGUGAGCCACCAUGCCUGGCCUCAUAUUGUUUUAAUUAAGAUUUAAGAUACUUUAAAAUUAUAUCAACCAAUAUGGCUGAAUGAUGUAGAAUAAUUCUUCCUAUUCCAGACACACAGAAAUGCUGGAUGAAAUUAAAUGAAAACAUUAAAUCAUAAGUACACUAAGGAAGCAGAAAAAAGAGAGAGACCUAGGGAUAGAGAUGAGAGAGAGAGGGGCAGGGGGUUGAAAGCAAGUCAGCCAGCCUAGAUGUCAGAAUAAGAGAAAGAACAAAACUAUAAGUAUGAGCUGAAGCCGAGAUGGUUGCUGGGGGGUUCAGAACCAGAUAUAGGCCUUGGAGCUGGAGUUUUAUUACCAAUAGAGAGAAGAGAGUCCAAAUCUCAGAUCCCAUGAGUGUGGAGAGCUGAAAUGAAGCCACCUGCAUAAAACUAAGGUAAUAAAAUACUAUCUUAUCUAUAAAAUAUGGACAGGAAAAUCUACCCCCAGCUUGCAAAAGUAGCAAAGUAAUUUGCUAUCUCCUAGCAACAAGGGUAGAAAUAGUCACCUAAAAAAUAUUGGAAACCCCCGCCAGUACCACAUGCUGGUGUGUGGCCCAAAUUCAUAGUCCUCAUAUGCUGUGAAAACCUAAGAUGAAGCUGAGUGAAAUAAAGGCAGUGUAAUCCACUGAACUCUGUCAGACGCCAAGUACAAAGUCACCUUGGAGGAAUAAUUCAACAAGACAGGGUAUACUGAAUCUCCACUAAAAACAAUUCAUGGCCGGGUGUGGUGGCUCACGCCUGUAAUCCCAGAACUUUGGGAGGGCAAGGCGGGUGGAUCGCAUGAGGUCAGGAGUUCCAGACCAGCCUGGCCAACAUGG